UACGUAGGGUGCAAGCGUUAAUCGGAAUUACUGGGCGUAAAGCGUGCGCAGGCGGUUGUGCAAGACAGAUGUGAAAUCCCCGGGCUUAACCUGGGAACUGCAUUUGUGACUGCACGGCUAGAGUGUGUCAGAGGGGGGUAGAAUUCCACGUGUAGCAGUGAAAUGCGUAGAUAUGUGGAGGAAUACCGAUGGCGAAGGCAGCCCCCUGGAUAAGACUGACGCUCAUGCACGAAAGCGUGGGGAGCAAACAGG
rnacentral:rRNA from 1 species